rnacentral:rRNA from 1 species
GGUUAAGCGACUAAGCGUACACGGUGGAUGCCCUGGCAGUCAGAGGCGAUGAAGGACGUGCUAAUCUGCGAUAAGCGUCGGUAAGGUGAUAUGAACCGUUAUAACCGGCGAUUUCCGAAUGGGGAAACCCAGUGUGUUUCGACACACUAUCAUUAACUGAAUCCAUAGGUUAAUGAGGCGAACCGGGGGAACUGAAACAUCUAAGUACCCCGAGGAAAAGAAAUCAACCGAGAUUCCCCCAGUAGCGGCGAGCGAACGGGGAGCAGCCCAGAGCCUGAAUCAGUGUGUGUGUUAGUGGAAGCGUCUGGAAAGGCGCGCGAUACAGGGUGACAGCCCCGUACACAAAAAUGCACAUGCUGUGAGCUCGAUGAGUAGGGCGGGACACGUGGUAUCCUGUCUGAAUAUGGGGGGACCAUCCUCCAAGGCUAAAUACUCCUGACUGACCGAUAGUGAACCAGUACCGUGAGGGAAAGGCGAAAAGAACCCCGGCGAGGGGAGUGAAAAAGAACCUGAAACCGUGUACGUACAAGCAGUGGGAGCACGCUUAGGCGUGUGACUGCGUACCUUUUGUAUAAUGGGUCAGCGACUUAUAUUCUGUAGCAAGGUUAACCGAAUAGGGGAGCCGAAGGGAAACCGAGUCUUAACUGGGCGUUAAGUUGCAGGGUAUAGACCCG